AUUGAACGCUGGCGGCAGGCCUAACACAUGCAAGUCGAGCGAGAGGCGGACGGGGGAGUAAUGUCUGUGAAACUGCCUGAUGGAGGGGGGUAUCUACUUGAAACGGUAGCUAAUACCGCAUACCAUCAGAUGUGCCCCGAUGGGAUUAGCUAUUAGGUGGGGUAACGGCUCACCAAGGCGACGAUCCCUAGCUGGUCUGAGAGGUUGACCAGCCACACUGGAACUGAGACACGGUCCAGACUCCUACGGGAGGCAGCAGUGGGGAAUAUUGCACAAUGGGCGCAAGCCUGAUGCAGCCAUGCCGCGUGUGUGAAGAAGGCCUUCGGGUUGUAAAGCACUUUCAGCGGGGAGGCGUUACCCGCAGAAGAAGCACCGGCUAACUCCGUGCCAGCAGCCGCGGUAAUUC
rnacentral:rRNA from 1 species